UACGGAGGGUGCAAGCGUUAUCCGGAUUCACUGGGUUUAAAGGGUGCGUAGGCGGGCAUGUAAGUCAGCGGGGAAAUCUCCGGGCUUAACCCGGAAACUGCCGUUGAUACUAUGUGUCUUGAAUAUCGUUGAGGUUUGCGGAAUAUGUCAUGUAGCGGUGAAAUGCUUAGAUAUGACAUAGAACACCAAUUGCGAAGGCAGCAGGCUAAGCGAACAUUGACGCUGAGGCACGAAAGCGUGGGGACCAAACAGG
rnacentral:rRNA from 1 species